GAACUGAAGAGUUUGAUCAUGGCUCAGAUUGAACGCUGGCGGCAGGCCUAACACAUGCAAGUCGAGCGGAUGAGAGGAGCUUGCUCCUGGAUUCAGCGGCGGACGGGUGAGUAAUGCCUAGGAAUCUGCCUGGUAGUGGGGGACAACGUUUCGAAAGGAACGCUAAUACCGCUACGUCCUACGGGAGAAAGCAGGGGACCUUCGGGCCUUGCGCUAUCAGAUGAGCCUAGUCGGAUUAGCUAGUUGGUGAGGUAAUGGCUCACCAAGGCGACGAUCCGUAACUGGUCUGAGAGGAUGAUCAGUCACACUGGAACUGAGACACGGUCCAGACUCCUACGGGAGGCAGCAGUGGGGAAUAUUGGACAAUGGGCGAAAGCCUGAUCCAGCCAUGCCGCGUGUGUGAAGAAGGUCUUCGGAUUGUAAAGC
rnacentral:rRNA from 1 species